CCUACGGGGUGCAGCAGUGGGGAAUAUUGCACAAUGGGGGAAACCCUGAUGCAGCGACGCCGCGUGAGCGAUGAAGUCUUUCUGUAUGUAAAGCUCUAUCAGCAGGGAAGAAAAUGACGGUACCUGACUAAGACUCCCCGGCUAACUCCGUUCCAGCAGCCGCGGUUAUACGUAGGGGGCAAGCGUUAUCCGGAUUUACUGGGUGUAAGGGGAGCGUAGACGGCUGUGCAAGCCAGAUGUGAAAGCCCGGGGCUCAACCCCGGGACUGCAUUUGGAACUGUGUGGCUGGAGUGUAGGAGAGGCAGGCGGAAUUCCUAGUGUAGCGGUGAAAUGCGUAGAUAUUAGGAGGAACACCAGUGGCGAAGGCGGCCUGCUGGACGAUGACUGACGUUGAGGCUCGAAAGCGUGGGGAGCAAACAGGAUUAGAUACCCCUGUAGUC
rnacentral:rRNA from 1 species